rnacentral:piRNA from 1 species
UAGAUACAAGAUGCAAAUUUC